GUUCGAUUCUGGAGAGGGAGCCUGAGAAACGGCUACCACAUCCAAGGAAGGCAGCAGGCGUGCAAAUUACCCAAUCCUGACAUGGGGAGGUAGUGACAAUAAAUAACAUUACUGGGCUCAUCGAGUCUAGUAAUUGGAAUGAGUACAAUCUAAAUCCCUUAACGAGGAUCCAUUGGAGGGAAAGUGUGGUGCCAGCAGCCGUGGUAAUUCUAGCUCCAAUAGCGUAUAUUUAAGUUGUUGAAUAUAAAAAGCUCGUAGUUGGAUCUUGGGUCGUAAAGGUCAGUCCGCCUACUCGGUGUGCACCUGCCCUUCUGUUUUGCCGGCGGCGUGCUCCUGGCCUUAAUUGGCUGGGUCGCAGUUCCGACAUUGUUACUUUGAAAAAAUUAGAGUGCCCAAAGCAAGCUUAUGCUCUGAAUACAUUAGCAUGGAAUAACGCGAUAGGAGUCUGGUUCUAUUGUGUUGGCCUUCGGGACCGGAGUAAUGAUUAAUAGGGACUGUCGG
rnacentral:ncRNA from 1 species